GGGGGUGUAGCUCAGUGGUGAAGCACUUGCACAGCAUGCAAGAGGCCCUGGGUUCUAUCCACAGCACCACAA
rnacentral:tRNA from 1 species